rnacentral:rRNA from 1 species
UACGAAGGGGGCUAGCGUUGCUCGGAAUCACUGGGCGUAAAGCGCACGUAGGCGGACUUUUAAGUCGGAGGUGAAAUCCUGGAGCUCAACUCCAGAACUGCCUUCGAUACUGAGAGUCUUCGAGUUCGGGAGAGGUGAGUGGAACUGCGAGUGUAGAGGUGAAAUUCGUAGAUAUUCGCAAGAACACCGGUGGCGAAGGCGGCCAUCUGGCCUGCAAUUGACGCUGAGGCGCGAAAGCGUGGGGAGCAAACAGG